CGCCGUCUGCGGUGGCCGAAAAAGGGGAAAAUCCCUUAUUUGGUUCCUUAAGCUUAUCUAAACCUGAAUCUGGGUUUGGAGCUUUCAAAAAAUCGACAAAAAUCGCAAAUAAAUCGAGGAGACCCUUCGGUGUCUGGCCACCGAUCCUCGGCGUGGCUCCCUCGAACGCUACAGCGCCGUUUCAGAGUUUAAAGAAAAGGUGAUUUCUUUCCUUUUUUAUUUUCAUACUAUUCGUAUAUAGAUAAAAAAUGUGUAACAAAAAUAAAUGUAAAUUAACGAAAAUAAAAAUCAACCUUGAAUUGAUUUCUGAUCUUUCGGUAUUGAACUCACUGUUUUUGCUAUGAAAUCCACUGUCUUUUUUAUUGAUUUUUUCUACCCCUAUUACAGUGCAUUAAUGGCUUUUUUAUAGCCGAACGAAACAAAUCUAAAGAAGAAACAAAUCUGUUUCUUUAUUUGAUUUUCGAAUCUUUGAUUGUGUUUCCUUUUUUGUUUUUUUCUUGAUGCGCAGGUAUGAAGAUCGGGCAUGCUUGUGGCU
rnacentral:lncRNA from 1 species